GGCCGAAUGGGAGAAUGGUACACGACGCCUUUCGAUGCCUUUCGAUGACCAAUACCACCGCAAUGCAGAGAUGAACGACGCAACGGUAAUGAACAGAGAACGAAUGGGAGAAUGGGACAAUAAGAGAUGACCGAAUGGGACAAUGGCAAAGUCGAAUGGGAGAGAUUGUGAAUGGGAGAGAACGAUGGUCAGAGAACGAAAGUCUGAAAGUGAAAGAUGAAAAAUGAAACCGCCAAAUUCAAUUUUCAUUCAUUCAAUAACAUCACAAUGCCCAUUCUACCCUUCUCAGCUUUUGGAAAAAUUAAUUUUAAAAGACCAACAACCAUCCAA
rnacentral:lncRNA from 1 species